rnacentral:misc_RNA from 1 species
UCGUGUUCCUGCCCUCACGGGUAGCAACCCCACCCUUUGUUUAUUACUAUCAUACCUUGGGCGGCGCCUCCGGGCGUCAGUCCUUGUUUUGUUUCUUUGGCAGGCCGCCUUCGGGCGCCGGCUUCGGCUGGAGAGUGCCUGCCAGAGACCCAUACAACCCUAUUUUCGUGCUUGUCUGAGUAUAAUAUAAUAGUUA